GAACCCAAUAAUUGAAGCAGAGUGUUCUCUUGCCUGCUAUCUACUGAACAUCUUGGCCAUAAACCUUAGCUUAUCAAACCGAUUUCCCUUUGUGUAGUGGGAAACGUGAGAUCACCCCCUACCCCUCCCUUCUUUCCCAAGUUGCCCCUCUCUUCCCUCUUGAACCUGGAGCUCCAGCCCCCACAAGGUGGAGCACUGGCAUAUAUACAGAACUUCAUUCUCCCAUCCUGGACUGCAUUCUGAAGGCUGCAGAAGAGAUGGCAAGAUGAAAGCUUUGCUAUUUGCGUUGUUGUUGGUGGCAUUUGUGUGCAAGGACCCAGGAGGGCUCCAGUAUAAAGGAUGUGCUCCAUUGUGCCCGGAAUAUGACCAGUCUCUGGACCUUACGUGUUGCAAAACUGACUUUUGCAAUGUUUAAAAUGUUGUUUUGGGUUUUGCUGUCAUCCAUCAUGGACCAUCCUGGCAGAUUUAAAUUUGUGGCCUUUACGGUCCAUAAUUCACCCCCUCGGCUUCUUUGGACACAUCGUCCUCUCUCCUUUUAAUCCUGGUCUACAAGACUUGUUCUGCUCUCUCUGUAGCUUGGCAACUGAAUAAAUUUGUGCAUUUACAUUCAA